AUGAACGCUAGCUACAGGCUUAACACAUGCAAGUCGAGGGGCAUCAGGAAGAAAGCUUGCUUUCUUUGCUGGCGACCGGCGCACGGGUGAGUAACACGUAUCCAACCUGCCCUUUACUCGGGGAUAGCCUUUCGAAAGAAAGAUUAAUACCCGAUGGCAUAAUGAUUCCGCAUGGUUUCAUUAUUAAAGGAUUCCGGUAAAGGAUGGGGAUGCGUUCCAUUAGGUUGUUGGUGAGGUAACGGCUCACCAAGCCUUCGAUGGAUAGGGGUUCUGAGAGGAAGGUCCCCCACAUUGGAACUGAGACACGGUCCAAACUCCUACGGGAGGCAGCAGUGAGGAAUAUUGGUCAAUGGGCGCUAGCCUGAACCAGCCAAGUAGCGUGAAGGAUGAAGGCUCUAUGGGUCGUAAACUUCUUUUAUAUAAGAAUAAAGUGCAGUAUGUAUACUGUUUUGUAUGUAUUAUAUGAAUAAGGAUCGGCUAACUCCGUGCCAGCAGCCGCGGUAAUACGGAGGAUCCGAGCGUUAUCCGGAUUUAUUGGGUUUAAAGGGAGCGUAGGUGGACUGGUAAGUCAGUUGUGAAAGUUUGCGGCUCAACCGUAAAAUUGCAGUUGAUACUGUCAGUCUUGAGUACAGUAGAGGUGGGCGGAAUUCGUGGUGUAGCGGUGAAAUGCUUAGAUAUCACGAAGAACUCCGAUUGCGAAGGCAGCUCACUGGACUGCAACUGACACUGAUGCUCGAAAGUGUGGGUAUCAAACAGGAUUAGAUACCCUGGUAGUCCACACAGUAAACGAUGAAUACUCGCUGUUUGCGAUAUACAGUAAGCGGCCAAGCGAAAGCAUUAAGUAUUCCACCUGGGGAGUACGCCGGCAACGGUGAAACUCAAAGGAAUUGACGGGGGCCCGCACAAGCGGAGGAACAUGUGGUUUAAUUCGAUGAUACGCGAGGAACCUUACCCGGGCUUAAAUUGCAGUGGAAUGAUGUGGAAACAUGUCAGUGAGCAAUCACCGCUGUGAAGGUGCUGCAUGGUUGUCGUCAGCUCGUGCCGUGAGGUGUCGGCUUAAGUGCCAUAACGAGCGCGACCCUUAUCUUUAGUUACUAACAGGUCAUGCUGAGGACUCUAGAGAGACUGCCGUCGUAAGAUGUGAGGAAGGUGGGGAUGACGUCAAAUCAGCACGGCCCUUACGUCCGGGGCUACACACGUGUUACAAUGGGGGGUACAGAAGGCAGCUAGCGGGUGACCGUAUGCUAAUCCCAAAAUCCUCUCUCAGUUCGGAUCGAAGUCUGCAACCCGACUUCGUGAAGCUGGAUUCGCUAGUAAUCGCGCAUCAGCCACGGCGCGGUGAAUACGUUCCCGGGCCUUGUACACACCGCCCGUCAAGCCAUGGGAGCCGGGGGUACCUGAAGUACGUAACCGCAAGGAUCGUCCUAGGGUAAAACUGGUGACUGGGGCU
rnacentral:rRNA from 1 species